UGGGCCAAUUCAAAUGGAAAUGGCAUACUAUAAAAGAGAGUAAGAUUUCCAUUUGCAUCCUCUGUCUCCUCCGCCUCUUACUUGAAAAUGUUCAUCACAGUAGCUUUGAGGAACAAAAUGUCCUCAAGUUGUGAAUUAUUUAUGCAUCUCCUGACCUCCUUCACUCUGAUAAUUCGAAGCUCGUAGCAGUAAGUCUUCCCUCCUCUCCAUUUAUGUGUUGUAAUGCCAAUCACUCUUCCUUCCUGACCUCGGCUUCCUUUGUAGUGGUAAACUUCGGUGGUGCAGUGGAUCUGAUGCCAAGUCCUGAGCUAUUGCUUGGAAAAUGUAAGCACAUCUCCAUACUUUUCCAUUUUUGCCUUACUCCACACUGAUUUGAGACGGACAUAGAGAUUCCAAGACAACCUCUCCG
rnacentral:lncRNA from 1 species